rnacentral:rRNA from 1 species
UAGGGAAUCUUCGGCAAUGGACGGAAGNCUGGACCGAGCAACGCCACGUGAGUGAAGAAGGUUUUCGGAUCGUAAAGCUCUGUUGUAAGAGAAGAACGAGUGUGAGAGUGGAAAGUUCACACUGUGACGGUAUCUUACCAGAAAGGGACGGCUAACUACGUGCCAGCAGCCGCGNUAAUACGUAGGUCCCGAGCGUUGUCCGGAUUUAUUGGGCGUAAAGCGAGCGCAGCCGGUUAGAUAAGUCUGAAGUUAAAGGCUGUGGCUUAACCAUAGUAGGCUUUGGAAACUGUUUAACUUGAGUGCAAGAGGGGAGAGUGGAAUUCCAUGUGUAGCGGUGAAAUGCGUAGAUAUAUGGAGGAACACCGGUGGCGAAAGCGGCUCUCUGGCUUGUAACUGACGCUGAGGCUCGAAAGCGUGGGGAGCAAACAGGAUUAGAUACCCUGGUAGUCCACGCUGUAAACGAUGAGUGCUAGGUGUUAGACCCUUUCCGGGGUUUAGUGCCGUAGCUAACGCAUUAAGCACUCCGCCUGGGGAGUACGACCGCAAGGUUG